ensembl:lncRNA
UGUUAGCAGCCAGGGGAGUAGCUUCUCUCUAGAGGCUGAAUUAUUUUCGAGCUGUCACCAGUCAUGGGAGAAAGAUACCCUUUUCAAGAUGCUGUUGCUCUUUCUGUGAAGAGAAUAGAAAUGAUAGCAGAAAUAUACAGCUAAAGAAAAAGAUUUCUCUGUGGCUGGAGAACAACUAUGUAAAUGAGAGGUCAUAUCCACAGCUUAGUCUAUUUUUGUAUGACAUCCUGCAUACUGGAAUUCAGGGAGAAGAGUUUCGGAGCAUUAUGCAAUUAUGCUCUAUAUUGUGUCAUGCCAAAGAGUGAAGUGAAUUUUGUGGUUGUAAUUUUGAUGGCCUUAUCUGUUCCCUCCAUGCUUGCCUUGUCCAAUGCUCCCUGUAGUUUGAAAUGUCCGCUCUGUCAGUCAAUGUCUACCGGCACUGUUACUUUGCAACUGAAAGAUAGUAAAGUCCUACAUUAAAGAGCAAAUACUGUAAUGUUGUGAUGAAUGAUCCAAGGGAAAAAAAUAAAAGGCUAUUUAGAGCAUGGGAUAAUAUGGCUACUAAGGAACAAAUUCAUGAAAUGUUCUUGAUUCAAAUGGGAAUGGUGAAGGGAUAAUUUGUAUAUAUCAUUUUCUUUGAAUUAUGGC